rnacentral:rRNA from 1 species
AAACGGGAUUCCCCUAGUAGCGGCGAGCGAAGCGGGAAGAGCUCAAAUUUAUAAUCUGGCACCUUCGGUGUCCGAGUUGUAAUCUCUAGAAAUGUUUUCCGCGUUGGACCGCACACAAGUCUGUUGGAAUACAGCGGCAUAGUGGUGAGACCCCCGUAUAUGGUGCGGACGCCCAGCGCUUUGUGAUACAUUUUCGAAGAGUCGAGUUGUUUGGGAAUGCAGCUCAAAUUGGGUGGUAAAUUCCAUCUAAAGCUAAAUAUUGGCGAGAGACCGAUAGCGAACAAGUACCGUGAGGGAAAGAUGAAAAGCACUUUGGAAAGAGAGUUAACAGUACGUGAAAUUGUUGGAAGGGAAACGCUUGAAGUCAGACUUGCUUGCCGAGCAAUCGGUUUGCAGGCCAGCAUCAGUUUUCCGGGAUGGAUAAUGGUAGAGAGAAGGUAGCAGUUUCGGCUGUGUUAUAGCUCUCUGCUGGAUACAUCUUGGGGGACUGAGGAACGCAGUGUGCCUUUUGGCGGGGGUUUCGACCUCUUCACACUUAGGAUGCUGGUGGAAUGGCUUUAAACGACCCGUCUUGAAC